rnacentral:rRNA from 1 species
UACGUAGGGUGCGAGCGUUAAUCGGAAUUACUGGGCGUAAAGCGUGCGCAGGCGGUUCGUUGUGUCGGCGGUGAAAGCCCCGGGCUUAACCUGGGAAUGGCCGUUGAAACUGGCGAACUGGAGUGUGGCAGAGGGGGGUGGAAUUCCGCGUGUAGUAGUGAAAUGCGUAGAGAUGCGGAGGAACACCGAUGGCGAAGGCAGCCCCCUGGGCUAACACUGACGCUCAGGCACGAAAGCGUGGAGAGCAAACAGG